AUGAACAGUGCCCUGCAAUGUUUAGUUCACACGCCUCCUCUUGUUGAGUAUUUCUUGCAAGAUUACAAAGAUGAGAUCAAUACUGAAAAUCCUUUGGGAAUGCAUGGUGAGCUUGCAAUCGCCUUUGGUGAGCUGUUGAGGAAAUUAUGGUCCUCAGGGCGAACUACAAUUGCACCACGUGUUUUCAAGGGAAAAUUAGCUCGAUUUGCUCCCCAGUUCAGUGGCUAUAACCAGCAUGAUUC